rnacentral:rRNA from 1 species
UACAGAGGUCCCGAGCGUUGUUCGGAUUCAUUGGGCGUAAAGGGUGCGUAGGUGGCGCCGUAAGUGGGGUGUGAAAUCCCGGGGCUUAACCCCCGGGACUGCAUUCCAUACUGCGGUGCUUGAGGACUGGAGAGGAGACUGGAAUUUACGGUGUAGCAGUGAAAUGCGUAGAGAUGUGGAGGAAUACCGAUGGCGAAGGCA